UCCUAUCCCAUCCAGGGCCUCGCCCCGUCUCCUCCUAUCCCCUCCAGGGCCUCGCCCCGUCGGCCCUUAUCCCCAGCACGGCCUCGCCCCGCCCCCUCCUCUGACCACCGCGGCCUUGCCUCGCCGCCAACCCCGCGGAUCUUCCCUGGAUCGACUCUGCCGCCUCCAUCCUACUGCCCCAGAGGAUAUCGAGAUGUGAGCUGGUCGACACAAUUCGGGAGCAGGCAUAUCGAAUUGGAUCGAGAUCCAGUGCGUCAUCAAGUUGCUCUGGGAAGGAGUUCGCAGCUCGCGUACGUGCUCUACAGGAUCAGCCUAAUCUCUCUGUCGCCGCUGUUGUUGGCUUGCAAUAGACCAGACUAUUGCCAGAGGUACCACAAAGUGGUUGAUUCAAAGUUCGCACUAUUUAUAUCACAGGAUGGUACAAAUGGAGAAGUAAAAAAAAAGGCAUGGAGUUAUACCCAAAUAAUUUAUGCAGCCCAAUGAAGUGUAUCGCCUUGAGCUCCAUUAUUUAGGCCAGAUCUCAUGAGAGGUGUUGUGUCAAUUGCAUUGGCAUACAAUAAG